CCGAUGUAGGAACUCACAAUCCACCCCCAUAGAGGCCAGCAUCCUCGCUAGCACACCACUCGAUGUCUGGCUCUGAUUCCAUUUGUAACGUCUCAAGCCCAUCAUUAGCAGAUAUUGUCUACUUUGACCUAUUAUUGUAAAGUCUCAA